rnacentral:rRNA from 1 species
GAUGAACGCUGGCGGCGUGCUUAACACAUGCAAGUCGAACGGAAAGGCUCCUGCUUGCCGGGGUACUCGAGUGGCGAACGGGUGAGUAACACGUGGGUGAUCUGCCCUGUACUUCGGGAUAAGCUUGGGAAACUGGGUCUAAUACCGGAUAGGACAACUUUUUGGAUAUUGUUGUGGAAAGCUUUUGCGGUAUGGGAUGAGCUCGCGGCCUAUCAGCUUGUUGGUGGGGUAAUGGCCUACCAAGGCGUCGACGGGUAGCCGGCCUGAGAGGGUGUACGGCCACAUUGGGACUGAGAUACGGCCCAAACUCCUACGGGAGGCAGCAGUGGGGAAUAUUGCACAAUGGGCGCAAGCCUGAUGCAGCGACGCCGCGUGGGGGAUGAAGGCCUUCGGGUUGUAAACUCCUUUCGCUAGGGACGAAGCUUUUUUGUGACGGUACCUGGAGAAGAAGCACCGGCUAACUACGUG